GAAUGUGAGGGCAUUUUGGCUGCAACAUCUGUCACCCCACUGAUCAGCAGGGUUGAUUGGGCUGAUCUGGCUGGCUCUGCCUUGACUGCUUCACCUGCAUCCCUCCUGAAGCUGCAUGCUGUAGAAGAUGACCACUCCUCACAGAGGAGGACCAAGGGUAUACAUUAGCUGCACUCCCCUGCCACAGUCUCUAAAGAAGCUCUCGAAGACCACCGCCGUCUGAGAAUGAUCUUCUUUAGUCAUGAACUUCAUUCCCCACAGCAUAUAUAUGGCAGCUAGUCAUGGUUCCAU
ensembl:misc_RNA 7SK 7SK RNA